AUAGGAGCCGAUAUCGUGGUCGGAGUUGUCGGCACUAGAAUUGGAUGUAGCUUUGGAGUUCCGUUCUCUUCACCUCCGUCGGAGAUCGAUUUGGUAGGUGUCCCCACUGGUGUCUUAAUGGAAGGAACAGCUGUUUGAGGAAUCGGAGACAAGGGCUUUCUUAUCAAACGCAAUUCAGUUGAAGGCGCCUUUGCAGAAGACUGCUUCUUUACUAAAUGACCAGCAAUCUCCGAAUUUCUCCUACCUACAAAUAGUUGAGAUACGGCAUAGUUUAUAAAUCCAAGAUGGCCUAAGCAAACAAGUUGUUCUCUAUUCUUAUGUGUGCAAGCGGAAAACGAGAGCUCUGAUUAUAUAACGAGAUAACAUAGGUCUGAGUUGCAAAACCACCAUUCUGCUGGGAACCCAAGUAGACAUUUUGAUUCAAACCAUCGCCUUUCUUAUUUAUAUGCAUGUGAGGACAUGAUUUAUCAGCUUUUAAGUUCUGAAGCAUCGCUCCGCCAAGAGAGAGUUUCCGGUUGCUUGCAAAUCCUACUGAAGUUCUAAAGGCCUUCUUUCCACUCUUUGAUGGACUGAAUUUUGCACCAAAAAGUGCUUCCUGCUCUGCUAUCAGCUGGACCUGAAGUUUCUUCUGGUCCUAAAAUAUACAGAAACUAUUUAUAUAAGGUAAAAUCGUAUCGUAUAUGAGAAAGAGAAAGGAAGAGAACAUUUUGCAAAGACUAAUUGAACAAAGUUCAUACGUACUCUUUGUCUUAUCUUUUCUUGUUCCUUCGCUUUCCUUAGGUUGUUGUACUGUUCCAGUCUAGAAAGAAGCCGUU